GGAGUUAGCCGGUGCUUCUUCUGUGAGUGAUGUCCUUCCUGCCGGCUAUUAACCCGCAGGCCUUCUUCCUCACUGAAAGUGCUUUACAACCCGAAGGCCUUCUUCACACACGCGGCAUGGCUGGAUCAGGGUUGCCCCCAUUGUCCAAUAUUCCCCACUGCUGCCUCCCGUAGGAGUCUGGGCCGUGUCUCAGUCCCAGUGUGGCUGAUCAUCCUCUCAGACCAGCUACGGAUCGUCGCCUUGGUGAGCCGUUACCUCACCAACCAGCUAAUCCGACAUAGGCUCAUCCGAUAGCGCGAGGCCCGAAGGUCCCCCGCUUUCCCCCGUAGGGCGUAUGCGGUAUUAGCCUGGGUUUCCCCAGGUUAUCCCCCACUACCGGGCAGAUUCCUAUGCAUUACUCACCCGUCCGCCGCUCGCCACCAGGGAGCAAGCUCCCCGUGCUGCCGCUCGACUUGCAUGUGUAGCUGCGCCACGCGUCAUCUGAGCAGAGACUACACUCUGACUGAGGCGGCGUCGACGACGCGC
rnacentral:rRNA from 1 species